AAGUUGACCUCGGCCAAUUGUCACUUCCACAAUUCAGCAACGUGCAUGGAUGAAAUUCAUGAGUUGAGAGAGAGAGCUCUAAGGAGAGUAGAGAGUGUCUUUUUAUUCUUCAGUGGUUUGCCAGCUGCUGGGGGAUCAGGGGCAGGAACACAGCAGAGCUGGUCACCCGGGAGAGCAGGGGACGUCUUCCGUGUGCAGCCGACGUGGUGAUUUCUUAGAAAAAGGAAGAGAGCAUUAGUCAAAGGUAAUUUCUUAGCUGAACCAGGCUCAGAGACUGGGAAAGGGUUGGAGAGGGAGAGGUGGGUCAAGGCAUGGAUGACUUGACCCAACAAAGGAUACAUCUUGAGGUUAGAUUGGGAGGCGGGCGGUCCCUCUUGAGAACGAUUAUACAACAGAGCAAUGCUGGGCAAGAAGGCAUGACCUUGCAAUCCCACAUAAAACAAACAACAAAAGCAAGCAUAAAUCCAUAAAUGAACUCUUUAAGGUCGUGUAAAGUAAAUGCCAGUAGAGAUACGAAAUUAAUUAUAAAUUCUGAAUAUGCGGAACCAAGUGCAGGUAAAGUAGAAAAAGCUAUAGAGUUAUGACUUGUAAGAGAACCCAGGGUCUUGCGUUUGGAGACGGAAGAAAGCCAAAAGUCCUACUACGCUCAUCACACUUCCUUUGCAAGCUAAACACAGGGGAAACAAAGAGGUACCCCGCCAUCUGACAGGUGUGGAUGGCCCAGUGGACUCAACAGUCUGCAAGCUGGUUACCGUCCCCGGUGAAGUUCGUGGCUGGGAUCCGUACUGUCUCAAGGGAGAAGGGCGCUCAGUGGAGGGGGUGGGGGGCCACCAGGGGUCGGACAGCUCGGCGUGGGCAGCUGUCCACUUCCCAGGGUCGGAACCCAGAGUUCCCUUUGGUCUGUUUCACAGUGUAAAGGCGAUUCCCAAAGUUUCUAUCAACUCAGGUGAAAAUGCAAAAAGGUAUCAGCUCUCAAUAGGCUGACAGAUGAGCCUUCCAUAAUUCCCACUCCCCCCUGCAUUUGCAACCCCCCUGGGCCUUAUUGCCUCCUUCAUCACCACCCCCCCUCCCCAAGUUGAAAGGGAGAGAGCAUCCACCCAGUAAAAACGUGCCAAAUUCCCUCUCCAGUACAGAGGCCACUGAAAGCAGCAGAAAAUAAUAAAAAUAAAACCGAAAAAAAAAAAAAAAAAAAAAAAAAACGGUGUUCUCCUAAUCCCCAAAUCCCAAUGAAAGGAACGAAAAAUUGAAAAAGGAAGUUAGGAAGCAUUGCUUCCAUUUGGAAAUUUCUAAAGAAUAUUAGAUUAUGGGGGCUCAGUCUGUGAGGUGUCUGACUCUUGAUUUCACCUCAGGCGGUGGUCUCAGGGUCACCAGGUGGAGCCCUGUGUGGGACUCUGCACUCAGUGGGUCGUCAGCUUGGGGUGCUCCCUCUCCCUCUGUUCCCCCCCGCUCCCAUUUUAUUUUAAAUAAAAUCUUUUAAAAAAGAA